CCUUUUCCUGUUUAUAGACUGAUUUCGUAAAUUUUAUCAAUGAAAUAUCUUAAGUACUAAUCAUUGGGUUGACAACUGUCGUAUAUAAGUGGACUUGUUUUGCAAGCAUUUUAUUGAUAGUGGAUAGCAAAGCAAUACCAAUGCAGGAUUAGUCAGAAAAAGAAGAAGGAUUUAAUUUCUUAUUAUCUGAAAAAGAACUGAACGACGAUAAAUAUCUGGAGAGGAUAAUGUGUUCCACACAAAGGAUUUCAGUUGUUAUUAUUGCAAUUAUACUGAUAUGGAAGAUCUCACAGGCAGAGAGCCAGCUAUGUCGGGUUACACGUCGCGGCUGCAGGGACACCAUAUUGGAUCGUUGGGGCAGAGGUCGGUGUGCUAGACUUGGCGACAUAUUAGAUAAAAUUAUGAAAUGUCAACGGUAUGGUUCACGUUGCCGAUGCAACUCAAUUGGCAAUAAACCGGGAAAUAUUGGAACAGAUUAUGACGGGUCUGAAUACUAUGACAAUUUUUUGUAUUCUGAAAUAUAUUAAACAGUUUUACAAAAAUCAAAAUGGCUACAAUAUUACAUCCCUUUAAAUUUGGAAACGUUCUGCUUCUAGUUAGACUAAUAGUGCCAGAAUGGAAGGAUAUUUGAAGAUAAAUGUACAAAUGUUCUGUGUUUAUUAAACAAACUUUGAGAAAAUGAGAUUUAAUAUCAACUGAUUUUUGUUUAAAUUAUCUUAUUACAGUACUCAAAGAUGUAUCUUUUGUUGAUAUAUACUUAAAAGAAGCACCACAAAAUAAUUGUAUUCUUUUGAAUUUUCGUGAUGGUAAUUAUACAUGUUUUGAAUGAAGAAAAUGAGUUUACAUAAUUACAAAUUGAUAGUGACAUAUACUCAUUUCCAAAAGAAAGUGUGCACUUUAAAUAAAGUUUAAAUAUUUCAAAAAAUUUCCAAACGUUUUUGUUUCAUAUUUUCAUACACUAACUCUCAGGUAUAACUCAAAAUCUAAAAUGCAUACCAAUUUGUUUACGAACUGAUUUAAAUUUUGGUACCAAACAUUAUAAGUUUUCAUGAAAAUAACCGAGAAGAAAUAACAGAAAACUAAGUGCACACUUUUUUUUGGAACUGAGCGUAUAUAAGGCCGGAACAACGUGUUUAAUAUCUAAAUAUAGUAUUAAAUUAUACUUGAUGUAUUAAGUUGAGUUUAGACCACACUUCUACAGUGUAAUUUAUUAUUCUAUGUAUAUAAAACUAUACCUAAAAGAGAAUGAGCGAAUAUGUUUGAAGUUGCGAAAACACAUUAAUUCAAGGAGGGCCUAAAUUGCCCAUCUGUCACCUUGUAGAAUAUCCCUAUUAUACAGGUAUUAUUAGAAUAAUUUGCACGAAGUACAUGUGGGAGAAAAAAGUAGGUCACUAGGUCUUGGUAUGUCUUUAAGUAUCAUAAUUAAUGUACUGUUGAAUGUUGUUUUAUUAGCCGCAUGUUUUUAUAUACAUGACACAUAAUUUGUUAAACAAUAAUACAGCAUCGCAAAUAUAUAAUAUUUAUCUCAACAUUGUAGAAAAUGUUUCGAACUUGCAGAAGUAAUUAAAGACAAUAUAUCAGAGAAAGCUUUGAAACAUUCUA